UCCCAUUUGAGACAUUCAUGGAUUUUCUUGGUGGUAUUGUCUUCUGGCAGGGGUCUCCUGGCAGCAGUAUUAGCAGAAAGAGCUUGAACUGAAACGCAGUGAAAAAAGACUCACUUGUGAAGUCUUUAUUUCUGGAGAAAUGGGCAGAUCUGAUUUUUGAAAAUGGAUUAGAAGCAGCCUAGGCAACAAAGUGGAGGACCUAAAGUAGCGCAGAGCCUGGAGACCAGCUGUUCUCAUAGCAACCUGGCAGAACAGGCAGUCAGAAAAACACAGGAGAAGCUUUCCUUGGAUGAAGCUUUCCCAGCAGGCUCCCUUUCGCUCGGCUCCCAGCAGAUGAUGCUGCAGCUGCUCAGCUUUGCAGUUUGUCUGCCUGGAACCUCAAGAGAACUUUUACACCUGCUUUAUUUUUAACACCUCUUUCUCGGAACCAGAAUGGCUGAGGAUGUAUUGGGGCUUUGGUGUUGGCUUGCAGUACCCUUGCUCACUUUUCAGCUGAUGCAGCAUCUGAGCAAUACUUUAUAUCCCUCUAUUU
ensembl:lncRNA